UUUUCUCCCUCAGAUGAUUAAUCUAAUUCUUAUAAUAUUUAUCGACUCGGUACCCUCUGACAUUCCCACUAACUGAAGGAAUUGCAAAGAAUGUGAAAUGAUGGACGGAUAACCUUUGACUAAGUGCAUGUAACGUGUUAAAACAUAACACUUAUUCACUCUAAAUUUAACUUGCUCAUGUUCAGCUUCUAAUACUAAAAGGUCCUAAUUUUAUGUUUUAUCUCGAUUCGUCAAUUUAACUUCUCUUUGAGGUAUUUAUGUUUGAGAGUUUCUCACCUUCCUAAAUAUAACGAAAUGCUGCAAAAGCCUUAAAAAGAGCAAGUAAAUACCGUAAUUGAAACGAAUAAUGAAGAGUCACUCUGUGUCAGUUUGUGACGUGUGUGCUUUGUAGCUGCAGAGGAAGAAACUGUUUAUUAGUGAAAUAAAGUAACAAAGGGAUCUGUUAGUUUAGUUCAAAGCACUGAAUUUCCAAAUGUGCGGUGGACCUGGAAGUCAAAGCAAUGCCUUUUUCCCUCUAUGGUUUCAUCCAUAAACCAAAAUUUGAAGAAAAAAAAUUGAACUAACAGGACAAAAAAGGAUGAUCAAUGUGUUAUGUGGAGGGUGAAAGGGAAAACUUCUCUGCAUUACAAGGCAAAACACAAAUCAGAAAAAAAACAGGUUCUUGCGAAACCCUUGUUGGACAUGUUUUUGUUUUUCUUCUUUCUUUGAAAACUGCCUCAAGCUGUUAAAUUCUUGUUCUCCUGCAAAGGCUUCUGGGAACUCAGACUGCUAAAUUAACUUUGCACUCAUGAAGGAUCAAAAUCAGAGAAAUGAACCUUGCUUUACAAACUAGAAUGCCAUUUUACUGAAAUUAUGAUUCUGAUUUUUUUUUUUUUUUUACAUUAUUGAAAUGGAAAACAGUUUCUAUUUUUGUAAGUGAAAUGCAGCCAAAAAUAAUGGGUUGAUGAUUUUAAUUCAUUGUUUCUACCUUUUGUAUUGCCAAAACAGUUUUUUUUUAAUGUAUCAUCUGGAACGAAUUUAGAAUGUGAACAAAUUCUGAGAAUAUUUGCGUUGUGCUACAAAUUCAGUUAUGCAAGCGAUAAAUGAUAAUGGGUUAUUUGUUUUGAUGCAGAGAAAAUUACAAUUUUGAUGAGGUUAAAAGUGAACCAGCAUCAGAAUCACAGAGCUGCUGGUUAAAUGCUGCCCUCUGCAUCCAGACAUUUGUCCCGGCAUGUGGUGUGAUUGUGUGAACAACUAAAGGAGUAAAAUCUCUCUAUUGACGUACAUGUAUAUAAAUCUCAGUGUUUCUCUGCCUGCAUCGACAAUAUAGAUAAGCUGCACAGAAAUAUUUAUUUUCCUAAAUUAUAUCCUGUUUUUGUAAGCAAAUAUUUGUAAUAGAUUAGUAUUUUAUGCAAUAAACUAAGCCAAUACUCAAA